UGGGGAAUAUUGGACAAUGGGCGCAAGCCUGAUCCAGCAAUGCCGCGUGAGUGAAGAAGGCCUUAGGGUUGUAAAGCUCUUUCGGCGGGGAAGAUGAUGACGGUACCCGCAGAAGAAGCCCCGGCUAACUCCGUGCCAGCAGCCGCGGUAAUACGGAGGGGGCUAGCGUUGUUCGGAAUUACUGGGCGUAAAGGGCGCGUAGGCGGUGCGGUAAGUUAGGCGUGAAAGGCCCGGGCUCAACCCGGGAACUGCGCUUAAGACUGCCGCGCUGUGAGUCCGGGAGAGGAUGGCGGAAUUCCCAGUGUAGAGGUGAAAUUCGUAGAUAUUGGGAAGAACACCAGUGGCGAAGGCGGCCAUCUGGCCCGGUACUGACGCUGAGGCGCGAAAGCGUGGGGAGCAAACAGG
rnacentral:rRNA from 1 species